CGGCGCAUGUACCCCAAGCUCUCAACCCCGACUGCCCAGAAUCAAGCCCGGCUUUGAUCCAGAUUCUCCAAUCCAUUUGUUCGUUGGUGUUCUCCGGCUGGUUCUCACAACCUCUCUGUGCCACAUUUCCCUCAUCCGUGAGAAGAGGAGGCUUGCGAGGAGAAAAUGAGAGAAUUCACGGAAAGCCCAGUGCUGACCAGACGGGAGCUGCUGUCCUUAUGAGCCCAUUCAGGGUCCAGAAGGUUGGAGUGGAAGGGGUCAGAGAGAGGCGAGGCAGCCAGAGGAAAUAGAAAUGAUGUUGACAGAAGCUGUCGCUGGAAGAGAAGCUGCCCACAAAACCCACAUCAGGUGGUUCUACACCCUUGCCACAGAUGGGGAAACUGAGGCCCGGAGGCUUAAGGGAGCUCUCCCAGAGCACAGAGAGGGGGUCUCCUCUCGACUUGUCGUGAUGGAUCUUUUUCCUGGAAGUUUUUGCUCAGUCCCCUUCGCUCCCACCAGACCAUGAGCUCCGGGGUCGGCCCCGUGGUCCCAGCACCCAGCCUGGCGCAUAGGAGGGACGUAGUAACUGGGUGAACGGAUGGAUGGAUGGACGGAUGGAUGGACGGACAGACCUCCCUACCUUUCUUCUUCUUGUCGCCAGGAGAGAAAGGAAGGAAAUUUCAAACAACUCUGAGCCGUAGCUCAGCCUGGAGCCGCGGUGACCCCAGCCUCCCUGGCGGGGAGCAUCGACCCAUGGCGGGCGGGCGGGUGCGGCUGCUUUGUGGAGGCGGAGGGCACUGGGGGACCUGCGCCAAGCUGCUCCGCGGCGUCCAGACCCCCCUCCACCUCCACCCCGCUCCCG
rnacentral:lncRNA from 1 species